GCCAGCAUGGUGUAGUGGUUUGAGCACUGGACUAUUACUCUGGAGGCCAGGGUUCGAAUCCCUGCUUGGCC
rnacentral:tRNA from 1 species